GAUGAACGCUAGCGGCAGGCUUAAUACAUGCAAGUCGAGGGGCAGCACGAAUAGCAAUAUUUGGUGGCGACCGGCGCACGGGUGCGUAACACGUAUACAACCUACCUAUAACAGGGGGAUAGCCUUUCGAAAGAGAGAUUAAUACCCCGUAAUAAAUUGAGUGGCAUCACUUGGGUUUGAAAGCUCCGGCGGUACAGGAUGACCAUGCGCCCGAUUAGCUAGUAGGUGAGGUAACGGCUCACCUAGGCUACGAUCGGUAGGGGGCCUGAGAGGGUUAUCCCCCCACACUGGUACUGAGACACGGACCAGACUCCUACGGGAGGCAGCAGUGAGGAAUAUUGCGCAAUGGAGGCAACUCUGACGCAGCCAUGCCGCGUGCAGGAAGAAGGCGCUACGCGUUGUAAACUGCUUUUAACCGGGAAGAAACCCCAGGACGUGUCCUGGGUUCGACGGUACCGGAGGAAUAAGGCACCGGCUAACUUCGUGCCAGCAGCCGCGGUAAU
rnacentral:rRNA from 1 species